CACCACAACAGGUGGAGCCUGCGGUUUAAUCGGACUCAACGCCGGGAAACUCACCAGAUAAGACAGCUGAAUGAUAGUCGGGCUGAAGACUCCACUUGACUAGCUGAGAGGAGGUGCAUGGCCGUCGUCAGUUCGUACUGUGAAGCAUCCUGUUAAGUCAGGCAACGAGCGAGACCCACGCCAACAGUUGCCAGCUCGUCCUCCGGGAUGGUGGGGACACUGUUGGGACCGCCUCUGCUAAAGAGGAGGAAGGAAUGGGCAACGGUAGGUCAGCAUGCCCCGAAUUAUCUGGGCUACACGCGGGCUACAAUGGGUGGGACAAUGGGUAUCGACACCGAAAGGUGAAGGCAAUCUCCUAAACCCAUCCGUAGUUCGGAUUGUGGGCUGCAACUCGCCCACAUGAAGCUGGAAUCUGUAGUAAUCGUGUCUCAAAAUGGCACGGUGAAUAUGUCCCUGCUCCUU
rnacentral:rRNA from 1 species